AACACAAAUUAAAAACUGCCAAUCUUUGCUGCAUAUCAAUUUUUUCCACCGAUAAAAAUAUAUAUCAUGCAACAUAAUCAACUUUACAAAUUGGGAGAAAAUCAAGGUGUUCCGACCAUUGGAUAGUAUUUAAAAAAAAUAAUGAAAGGAUGGCAUGAUUACAAGUUUGAACCCUAACGACACUGAAAAUCAAAAAUUCACGCAUUUACCUAUCAUAUGAUGAUACAAUGAGGUGAUAAACUUAACAAUAAAUAUUUUACCU
rnacentral:lncRNA from 1 species